UCCCAGUUCGGAUUGUAGUCUGCAACCCGACUACAUGAAGCCGGAAUCGCUAGUAAUCGCAGAUCAGCAUGCUGCGGUGAAUACGUUCCCGGGUCUUGUACACACCGCCCGUCACACCAUGGAGCCGGGAAUGCCCGAAGUCGGUGACCCAACCGUAAGGAGGGAGCAGCCGAAGGCAGGUCUGAUGACUGGGGUGAAGUCGUAACAAGGUACC
rnacentral:rRNA from 1 species